rnacentral:misc_RNA from 1 species
UCCGUAGUACAACCUUCUUACAGAGUCUGUGGGUCCGUUUACAUUAGGCAGAAGGCUCUUGAUGGCACCUACGAACCUCUUCGACUUAUCGCACGCUUGCUCCAAGCGCGAGGAGUAUCUUCUGACGUUGUCCGAUAGCACCCCCAGCGCCACGUCUAUCCCUAGAAGGAGAAAAAGUUCACCAGGAAGCAACCAACGCAGCAAGGAAAGACGUUGGCGCACCGUUCCUUCAAACCACAUGGAAGGCGAUAUAAACUCAUACGAUACAUUUACUUUAAUAGCACAUUCAACACUAACCGAUAAUCAUCUUACGUUAAGUCUGAACAAUAAAUAAAAUACUAAUAAUUCACAAAGUAAAAUCUAAUAACGUUGGUCGAAGGAGAAACCGAAGAAGCUACUUCACUUGAAAAUCCCAACCCAUUGAGUGAAAUAGAGAAAUCACGGGAUCAAAGCCUGCAAUCUCGUCUAUCUCCUCAGCCUAUAAGAAUAUAGAUCCCAUAAGUUCUGGAAAGCAGUUGAACGCAGUUGAGAAGUAUUAUUCCCGAUUAUUAAGAAUCUGAUAUACAUAUGAAAAUAUAGCAUACUUCGUCUUCUGGUAUUCUUAUAGAUUCUAUAUCCUCUAUCUUCUCCCCUUUCGCGUUCUCAUUCAUAACGAUACGUAAGUUAACUCUCAGCGGCAUGGCGUAGCGAAAAUCGAUUUAUAAUGUUCAAUUCUCGGAUAUUUCGGGGACCGAUUCUUAAGUCUGAAAAUCGAGUUUAUUGUAACAAUGCUCUAAAUAAUACGUUCUUAUAAUCGUGUCUAUUUCUAACGCUCGAAAUCCUUCUUCUUCUCAAUUUGCCCGUCUGUGAAAUGACUGUUUGGCAAAUCGGUUGUUCGUAACGACAAAUAAGGUCACAUUGUCCGUUAAACAGGGAAAGGCCCUUUGUUUAUCCGCGUUUGAACUCUUAGGCAGUUUAUACAGAUAUAUCACUCUGCCAAGAUUCUCAACCCGAGAAAGAAGAAGAGAAUCACGAGCCCUGUAAAAUAAACAUAAUCGGAGAAAUAUUAAAUGUACAUAUUUAAUGUAAACGGGUUCUUCUUAUAGCGAUAAAUAUUUCUGUGGUAUGUCAGAGUAAAAGUAGUCUGAAAGUCAUAGACGUCCGUGACACAAAGCGGGACGGCCAAACGCUACGACUUUCUCACAGUAAGCUCCGUAUAUUAGCGGAAUUACGAGACCUCCAGAUGCGUGAAAGAUGCCUCCUUUUCG